UACGUAGGGGGCAAGCGUUGUCCGGAUUUAUUGGGCGUAAAGAGCGUGUAGGCGGCCAGGCAGGUCUGCUGUGAAAACUCGAGGCUCAACCUCGAGCCUGCAUUCGAUACUGGGCGGCUAGAGUCUGGUAGGGGGAUCUGGAAUUCCUGGUGUAGCGGUGGAAUGCGCAGAUAUCAGGAGGAACACCGGUGGCGAAGGCGGGUCUCUGGGCAGUAACUGACGCUGAGGAGCGAAAGCGUGGGGAGCGAACAGG
rnacentral:rRNA from 1 species